AUAUCUCUCUGUACGGGAAGGAUGAGAAGCUUCGACUAAGGUUCGAUUCGAGCGCAGCGAGAAAGCGUUGCCGCAGGCAACGACCCGAAGGGCGAAGCGCGCAGCGCUGAGUCAUCC
rnacentral:sRNA from 2 species